UUCCUUCAACACCCUCGUUUCUCACGUAUCCUUUUCUUUCUACUGGUAGUUAUAUAUGUUAUCAAUGUAGUGCAUUGUCUUUAGUUUUGAUUAGCAGACAGAUUAGGGGGUUGUGGAUUCUGGGAACUGCCGGUCGUGUUGAUUUCUGGUUUUCUUUUAGAUUCUACCUGUUGGGUUUUAGGCUUUCUGGUAAAUUAUUGGAUAAUUUCUUGCGAAUUCGAUUGUUGCUGCAACAUAUGAGGGACGUUUAUGUGAAAUUUCCAUAUUGCAUAUUGUUCAUCAAUUUUAUUUUUUAGAUAGAGAUAGGAAAGCAGGUUUCUGGAUAUUGAAUUCAUAUAUGCAUGGAUUGGAGAAAACAAUGUGAUUUUUUUUAAAUGCAAAAAAGGCCCAGGGGAAAAAACUAUUGCCUCUAUUAAUAAUGAAGAAAAACAUUUAAAUUGAACUGCAUAAUUUAUUUUUAAUUUAUUAUUAUAUCUUAAAUUAGAGUUUAAAACAGUAAAUAUAACUGAAAUUGAGUCUGAAAUAAAUCUGAAAAACCAAGUAACGAGAAAUGAAAGUGGAACUGAAAUCUUGAUCAUUCAUUAAUCAAUCAUCUGUUAUAUACAAGUCAGUGACUAACAGAAGCUAACUUUGAAAACUAACUAACAGAAUUUAAAACUAAUUAACAGAAUAAGUU
rnacentral:misc_RNA from 1 species